AGAGUUUGAUCCUGGCUCAGGACGAACGCUGGCGGCGUGCUUAACACAUGCAAGUCGAGCGGAAAGGCCCUUCGGGGUACUCGAGCGGCGAACGGGUGAGUAACACGUGAGCAAUCUGCCCUUAGCUCUGGGAUAGCUCCGGGAAACCGGGAUUAAUACCAGAUACGACCACUUUAGACAUCUGCUGUGGUGGAAAGAAUUUCGGCUAGGGAUGAGCUCGCGGCCUAUCAGCUUGUUGGUGGGGUAACGGCCUACCAAGGCGACGACGGGUAGCCGGCCUGAGAGGGCGACCGGCCACACUGGGACUGAGACACGGCCCAGACUCCUACGGGAGGCAGCAGUGGGGAGUAUUGCGCAAUGGGCGAAAGCCUGACGCAGCGACGCCGCGUGGGGGAUGAAGGCCUUCGGGUUGUAAACCCCUUUCAGCAGGGACGAAGCGAAAGUGACGGUACCUGCAGAAGAAGCGCCGGCUAACUACGUGCCAGCAGCCGCGGUAACACGUAGGGCGCAAGCGUUGUCCGGAAUUAUUGGGCGUAAAGAGCUCGUAGGCGGUCUGUUGCGUCCGCUGUGAAAACUCGGGGCUUAACCCCGAGCCUGCAGUGGAUACGGGCAGACUAGAGGUAGGUAGGGGAGAAUGGAAUUCCCGGUGUAGCGGUGAAAUGCGCAGAUACCGGGAGGAACACCGGUGGCGAAGGCGGUUCUCUGGGCCUUACCUGACGCUGAGGAGCGAAAGCGUGGGGAGCGAACAGGAUUAGAUACCCCCGUAGUCC
rnacentral:rRNA from 1 species